AGUGCUGGAGCUGGGGCUGUAUCAGUCCUUACUCUGCAUGCAUUUGAAACUAGCAGAUGAAAGCUGCUGCUGGAACCAGUCUAAUUGGAGAGAAUUGCAGUUUAGAGGACAGCGCCCUGUCACCAAACUGCCUUCUACUGGGACUCUCUGGUUCACCAUCUCUUGAUCAUCACACUGAGAACCAAACGUACUUAGGGGAACAAACUCAACCCCUAGCAGCCAGUUUAUCCUCAUCGUCUCCUUCUGACAGGCCAUGAGCAGAGACCUUCUUAACUGGAGCGCCUCCUCCGAAGUCGGAUAACUGAGUAACUGGAUUUACGGAUGCUGAAGUGAGAGCCUUCUCUGCUUCCUGCGAUGGCUGUCUUAGGGGAGAGAGCUGAACCCCUUACCAAAAACAACCAACCAAACAUAAAACGUAGAGAAAGGCUUAGUGAUCCUUCUUAGAGAUGAAGGUGGGAUGGCUGUGCACAGUGGCUCUUUUCCCUGGAGGUGCCAAAAAGCUGUAGCUGUGGAUUCAAUGUGGACUCAGUGUGACAGAAACCGGAGCUCCAUAGAACUGUGAGCCAACGAGUUUACUGUGAAGAGUGACUUACGGGGGUAGGAAUGACUCAGGCAGCUGCAUCACAAAAAAAUGCUCCCCACACCAGCUCGUGAAAGCUGCACCAUCAGAGCUUCCUGUGUGACGGGCGGGCAGCUACAUCACUGAAAGCUCUCCUCUGGCUCACAGAGCCUGGGAGUCUUAACUGGUUUCCUAACUUCCUGGAUCUUCCUCGUGAGUUUCCCCGAGCUUUGGGACCCAGCCUCCCUCCACAAAGCAACGUUUCAGCCCCUAAGAAGCAGCUACUUAGCACACGGUCUGAAUGACUCAUGGAUGACAUAGGGGGCCUGCAAGAUGGUUCAGGGUAACGGGGUUUGUCCCCAAGUCUGGCCAGCUGAGUUCCUUCCCUGGAACUAGCAGGAGAGAAACAAGUUCCAAAAGUUCAUCUUCAGAACCAUCCCUCCAAGGCCUCUGCAUCAGCUCCUGCUUCCUGACCUGCUUGAGUUCCAGUCCUGACUUCCUUUGGUGAUGAACAGCAAUGUGGAAGUGCGAGCUGAAUAAACCCUUUCCUGCCC
rnacentral:lncRNA from 1 species